AUUGAACGCUGGCGGCAGGCUUAACACAUGCAAGUCGAGCGGGGGAGGUUGCUUCGGUAACUGUCCUAGCGGCGGACGGGUGAGUAAUGCUUAGGAAUCUGCCUAUUAGUGGGGGACAACAUUCCGAAAGGAAUGCUAAUACCGCAUACGCCCUACGGGGGAAAGCAGGGGAUCUUCGGACCUUGCGCUAAUAGAUGAGCCUAAGUCGGAUUAGCUAGUUGGUGGGGUAAAGGCCUACCAAGGCGACGAUCUGUAGCGGGUCUGAGAGGAUGAUCCGCCACACUGGGACUGAGACACGGCCCAGACUCCUACGGGGGGCAGCAGUGGGGAAUAUUGGACAAUGGGCGGAAGCCUGAUCCAGCCAUGCCGCGUGUGUGAAGAAGGCCUUUUGGUUGUAAAGCACUUUAAGCGAGGAGGAGGCUCUUAAGGUUAAUACCCUUGAUGAGUGGACGUUACUCGCAGAAUAAGCACCGGCUAACUCUGUGCCAGCCGCCGCAGUAAUAC
rnacentral:rRNA from 1 species